CCAGACUCCUACGGGAGGCAGCAGUGGGGAAUAUUGCGCAAUGGGCGAAAGCCUGACGCAGCGACGCCGCGUGAGGGAUGAAGUAUUUCGGUAUGUAAAGCUCUGUCAGCAGGGAAGAAAGAAAUGACGGUACCUGACCAAGAAGCCCCGACUAACUACGUGCCAGCAGCCGCGGUAAUACGUAGGGGGCAAGCGUUAUCCGGAUUUACUGGGUGUAAAGGGAGCGUAGACGGCAGUGCAAGUCUGGAGUGAAAGGCGGGGGCUCAACCCCCGGACUGCUCUGGAAACUGUACGGCUGGAGUGCAGGAGAGGUAAGUGGAAUUCCUAGUGUAGCGGUGAAAUGCGUAGAUAUUAGGAGGAACACCAGUGGCGAAGGCGGCCUGCUGGACUGCAACUGACGUUGAGGCUCGAAGGCGUGGGGAGCAAACAGGAUUAGAUACCCCGGUACAC
rnacentral:rRNA from 1 species